CAACAUCAGCGGGUUCACGAAAUCUUCUAUCUUCAGUGACAGGCACAGCCACACUGUAUGCAUUUGGUGGCGCAUCUUCAAUUGGAUACAGAUCCAAAUUUUCAGUAAAGUGAAGUACAGCUUUCAGAGCAACACACACAACUCUAGCUUUUUCCUGUAACAAACAGACAGCCCUUAGUUCGGUAUUGUAAAUUCCAUUUCUUAAUCAUUCCGUACUAUUAAU
rnacentral:lncRNA from 1 species